rnacentral:rRNA from 1 species
AUUGAACGCUGGCGGCAUGCUUUACACAUGCAAGUCGAACGGUAACAGGCCGCAAGGUGCUGACGAGUGGCGAACGGGUGAGUAAUGCAUCGGAACGUGCCCAGUCGUGGGGGAUAACUACUCGAAAGAGUAGCUAAUACCGCAUACGAUCUAUGGAUGAAAGCGGGGGACCGUAAGGCCUCGCGCGAUUGGAGCGGCUGAUGUCAGAUUAGGUAGUUGGUGGGGUAAAGGCUCACCAAGCCAACGAUCUGUAGCUGGUCUGAGAGGACGACCAGCCACACUGGGACUGAGACACGGCCCAGACUCCUACGGGAGGCAGCAGUGGGGAAUUUUGGACAAUGGGCGCAAGCCUGAUCCAGCAAUGCCGCGUGCAGGAAGAAGGCCUUCGGGUUGUAAACUGCUUUUGUACGGAACGAAACGGCUCUGGUUAAUACCCGGGGCUAAUGACGGCACCGUAAGAAUAAGCACCGGCUAACUACGUG